rnacentral:piRNA from 1 species
ACUCAAGGCAGAUGAUGAGGAUAGGCCGGG